CAGAAAUUUUAGAAGAGUUGAAUUUGAGAUUGCAAGACUUCAUCUCAUCACAUCUUCAAGCAACAGCAGGAUCAAGAAAAGAGGAAUCUAGAAUUAGAUCGGGAGAAAGGCAAAAUUAUCGAGUAAUCGAUUCGAUUCGUCAAUUCCGAGUACGAGAGAAUCAAGGCUAGCUCGAAUCCAAAAGACGUCGGGAACAUCAUCGCACUAUCGGACAUCUAAGUUGGUACUUUUGAAUUGUAUGUAUAUGGUAUAUGGCAUGUAUAGGCUAGUGUCAUCUUGGUAUGUUUUGAGUUAUGAUAUUAGCCAUGAGAUUUGGCUUGUAAAGGUUGGUGUGUAUUUGGCCAUAUGAAUUGGUUGUUUAAGUGUUGAGAGAAUGCAUGU